UCUCUAAUAAGAGGAAAUGGGCAGAGAAGCAUGCAGGUCUUCGUCAACAUGCCUGUUUCUCCCUGCCUACUUCAUCAGUUGCUCACUCCUUGAUUUUACUAUAUAUAUAUAUACACACACUCUCUAAUAAGAGGAAAUGGGCAGAGAAGCAUGCAGGUCUUCGUCAACAUGCCUGUUUCUCCCUGCCUACUUCAUCAGUUGCUCACUCCUUGAUUUUACUAUAUCAUCUUUAAUUAAUAGCUUAAGUCAUCGACAUACACUUAAAUUUGUCUUUAAAUUCACUUAAACCCCUCAACUAAGGGUUGUACCUAUUGAACACUUAUACUGUAUAAAAAAUUAUUCCUAUUAGGCACAUUUUGUUAAUUAGCAACAAAUAUGAAGUGUGUAUAACACUUGUCGUGUCAACUAAUUAAAAUGUGACACGUGUUAAUGGGCCCCACAAUAAUUAUCAAAAAAAAAAUUCAAUUAAAUUAAAAAGGCAAAAUGACCUUCUGAAUCCUUGUACUAUAUCGGUUUUGUAAGUUGAUUACUUCUACUUAUAUAUUUGUCAUCUGAACCCACUAAAAAGCAACAUUUUAAAUUCUUUUUUGAUGAGUGUAACACAUUCUUCCCACGUGAGCUACCACGUCAGCUGCCACUUCUGCUCAUCUGUCAUGUCAUCUGUCACGUCAUUUAAAAAAAAAAAGUAUUACAUUAAACUCCAAGUUAUUUUUAAAAUGCUAAAUAACAAAUUAAAUAUUAAAAUUAAUUUAAUUAGAUAAGAAAAAUUUAUAAUUGUAGAAAAAUUUGAAUAAUCAUGUUUUUAUUUUAGCUCACAUUUUAAU
rnacentral:lncRNA from 1 species